AGCCAUUGAUUAACAAUUAGAUACAAGAAGCCUGGACUCGUCUUGCUGCUGCCAUGUUUGCGGAAAGAAAUCCUUGAACACCAGAGCUCUACAGCGACACCAGAGGACCCCCACUGGAGCCAAACCUCAUACAUGCUCCCAGUGAGGGACAGCAUUCUGUGUCCUGAACAGACUGAAGAGACACAAUUCCAUCGACACUAGAGAGAGUUUUCUCCUGUCCAGUGGGUGACAAGAGAUUUUCUCGCAUAGACAGCUUGGAACACCUCAGCAUACACAGAUGUUCAGCUAAAGCCAAGGAAGCUGCAGAAGCUUUGGGUGGAGUGGAGACGGCCGACACCACCACGAGGUCAGUUAUGUCGUAUUUGGAGAUCAAGUCUGCUGGAAAUAGGCCCCUGCAUCACCAUGGAAACCAAGAAAACCCUGUUGCAGACAACCACAGCCAAACAUCAGUGUGGAACGGUGGUCAUUAUACAGCAUUCAUCCCAAAUAUGUCUCACUCCAGUGCAGCAAAGGGCCACUGGGCUCCAGCAAGAGAAAGCAUUGAUUUCAGUGCUUGCUCAGGGGCACAGUGGUAAGUGAUACAUCGACCUCCCAGAUUAAGUGGACAUUCUCAGCUUCACAUGUCCAUGUAAGAAAGUAGUUGGAUCGGUUGGAAAUCACCGUAAAACUGUCAGUAGGUG